GUUAUGUGGAGCUAUAUUCAAUCCACAAAACCCCCUUUUCCUAGCGUGCCCAAAUGAUCCUAAUAGGUUUUAUCCUAAUCAUGGUACGCUUGCACUGCCUUUGAUUACUUAACUGACAUUUAUUUGUUACUGUUUGUUUCUACCUUCUCAAUCUUGACAUAAUCAAUUUCAGUAAUCUGUUGUAAUGCUUUGUUAUAUAAUUUUGGAUUAUGAUUCAAACAUUAAAUCUGGAACUUGCAAGCAAUUUGAUUUCAAAAGUUGGUUUGAGCUAUGAUCACUAUAUCUAUAUAUUAGUAUCCCGGUUCAUGACAUCAAGAAUAGCGUAUGUACGUAGUAUUUAUUUAUUUUUUAUUUAAAUACACAGCAAUUGAGCUCGAACCCUUCCACUUCGAUUGCUUGGAAUUUGUUGGGAAGUUGGUUGCAUUAGCUUUGAUGUACGAAGUACAAGUGGGUGUUGCCUUCGCCCAUUUGUUUCUUUUGCAACUGGCUGGAAGAAGGAAAAUUUCACUAGAAGAUGUA
rnacentral:misc_RNA from 1 species